CCUACGGGAGGCAGCAGUGGGGAAUUUUGCACAAUGGGCGAAAGCCUGAUGCAGCGACGCCGCGUGAGGGAUGACGGCCUUCGGGUUGUAAACCUCUUUCAGUAGGGAAGAAGCGAAAGUGACGGUACCUGCAGAAGAAGCACCGGCUAACUACGUGCCAGCAGCCGCGGUAAUACGUAGGGUGCGAACGUUAUCCGGGAUUAUUGGGCGUAAAGAGCUCGUAGGCGGGUUGUCGCUUCCGUCGUGAAAGUCCGGGGCGUAACCCCGGGUCUGCGGUGGGUACGGGCAGACUAGAGUGCAGUAGGGGAGACUGGAAUUCCUGGUGUAGCGGUGGAAUGCGCAGGUAUCAGGAGGAACACCGAUGGCGAAGGCAGGUCUCUGGGCUGUAACUGACGCUGAGGAGCGAGAGCAUGGGGAGCGAACAGGAUUAGAUACCCUGGUAGUC
rnacentral:rRNA from 1 species